rnacentral:rRNA from 1 species
UACGCAGGGUGCAAGCGUUACUCGGAAUUACUGGGCGUAAAGCGUGCGUAGGUGGUUUGUUAAGUCUGAUGUGAAAGCCCUGGGCUCAACCUGGGAAUUGCAUUGGAUACUGGCAGGCUAGAGUGCGGUAGAGGGUAGUGGAAUUCCCGGUGUAGCAGUGAAAUGCGUAGAGAUCGGGAGGAACACCAGUGGCGAAGGCGACUACCUGGACCAGCACUGACACUGAGGCACGAAAGCGUGGGGAGCAAACAGG